rnacentral:rRNA from 1 species
AGAGUUUGAUCCUGGCUCAGAACGAACGCUGGCGGCAUGCCUAACACAUGCAAGUCGAACGAAGCCUUCGGGCUUAGUGGCGCACGGGUGCGUAACGCGUGGGAACCUGCCUUUAGGUUCGGAAUAACUCAGAGAAAUUUGAGCUAAUACCGGAUAAUGUCUUCGGACCAAAGAUUUAUCGCCUUUAGAUGGGCCCGCGUUAGAUUAGAUAGUUGGUGGGGUAAUGGCCUACCAAGUCGACGAUCUAUAGCUGGUCUGAGAGGAUGAUCAGCCACACUGGGACUGAGACACGGCCCAGACUCCUACGGGAGGCAGCAGUGGGGAAUAUUGGACAAUGGGCGAAAGCCUGAUCCAGCAAUGCCGCGUGAGUGAUGAAGGCCUUAGGGUUGUAAAGCUCUUUUACCCGGGAUGAUAAUGACAGUACCGGGAGAAUAAGCUCCGGCUAACUCCGUGCCAGCAGCCGCGGUAAUACGGAGGGAGCUAGCGUUGUUCGGAAUUACUGGGCGUAAAGCGCGCGUAGGCGGCUAUUUAAGUCAGGGGUGAAAUCCCGGGGCUCAACCCCGGAACUGCCCUUGAAACUGGAUAGCUAGAAUCCUGGAGAGGCGAGUGGAAUUCCGAGUGUAGAGGUGAAAUUC